UACGUAGGAGGCAAGCGUUGUCCGGAAUUACUGGGCGUAAAGCGCGUGUAGGUGGUGGGACAAGUCUGCUGUGAAAGCGCCUGGCUUAACCGGGCGAGGUCGGCGGAAACUGUCCGACUCGAGGACGGUAGAGGGGGGUGGAAUUCCCGGUGUAGUGGUGAAAUGCGUAGAGAUCGGGAGGAACACCUGUGGCGAAGGCGGCCCCCUGGCCCGAUACUGACGCUGAGGCACGAAAGCGUGGGGAGCAAACAGG
rnacentral:rRNA from 1 species